GCCCUCGUAGCCCAACGGCAGAGGCACGGCGUCGAGGUCGCCGACGGUGCGCGUUCGAAUCGCGCCGAGGGCA
rnacentral:tRNA from 1 species